UACGGGGGGGGGCAAGCGUUGUUCGGAAUUACUGGGCGUAAAGGGCUCGUAGGCGGCCAACUAAGUCGGAUGUGAAAUCCCCAGGCUUAACCUGGGAACUGCAUCCGAUCUGGAUGGCUCGAGUCCGGGAGAGGGGGGGUGGAAUUCCCCAGUGUAGCGGUGAAAUGCGUAGAUAUUGGGGAGGAACACCGGUGGCGAAGGCGGCCCCCCUGGACCGGUACUGACGCUGAGGCGCGAAAGCGUGGGUAGCAAACGGG
rnacentral:rRNA from 1 species